UGGCCGCGGUACCCUGACCGUGCAAAGGUAGCAUAAUCAUUUGUCUUUUAAUUAAUGACUAGCAUGAACGGUAUGAUGAGAGUAAGACUGUCUCUUAAUUAUUUUAUUGAAACUACCCUUUAAGUGAAAAGGCUUAAAUUACUUUAUAAGACAAUAAGACCCUGUCGAGCUUUAAGUUUUAUAUAGAAAACAAAAUAAAUAUUACUUCAUCUAUAUAACUUUUAGUUGGGGCGACUAAGGAACACACAAAACUUCCUCUAAUAAAAAAAGCUUUCAAGCAAUGACCCAGAAACAAGUUUCUGAUCAAAAGAAAUAGCUACCGCAGGGAUAACAGCGUUAUUCUUUUUGUGAGACCAUAUUAAAAAAAGAGUUUGCGACCUCGAUGUUGGAUUAAGAUAUCCUAAAAGUGCAACAACUUUUAAGGGCUGGUUUGUUCAACCAUUAAAAUCUUACAUGAU
rnacentral:rRNA from 1 species